UACAGAGGGGGCAAGCGUUGUUCGGAAUUACUGGGCGUAAAGGGCGCGUAGGCGGUUUGGACAGUCAGAUGUGAAAUUCCUGGGCUCAACCUGGGGGCUGCAUUUGAUACGUUCGGACUAGAGUGGGGAAGAGGGUCGUGGAAUUCCCAGUGUAGAGGUGAAAUUCGUAGAUAUUGGGAAGAACACCGGUGGCGAAGGCGGCGACCUGGUCCUUGACUGACGCUGAGGCGCGAAAGCGUGGGGAGCAAACAGG
rnacentral:rRNA from 1 species